UACGGAGGGGGCUAGCGUUGUUCGGAAUUACUGGGCGUAAAGCGCGCGUAGGCGGCUUUGUAAGUUAGAGGUGAAAGCCCGGAGCUCAACUCCGGAACUGCCUUUAAGACUGCAUCGCUUGAAUCCGGGAGAGGUGAGUGGAAUUCCGAGUGUAGAGGUGAAAUUCGUAGAUAUUCGGAAGAACACCAGUGGCGAAGGCGGCUCACUGGACCGGCAUUGACGCUGAGGUGCGAAAGCGUGGGGAGCAAACAGG
rnacentral:rRNA from 1 species